rnacentral:rRNA from 1 species
AUUGAACGCUGGCGGCAUGCCUUACACAUGCAAGUCGAACGGCAGCACGGGUGCUUGCACCUGGUGGCGAGUGGCGAACGGGUGAGUAAUACAUCGGAACGUACCUUAUCGUGGGGGAUAACGCAGCGAAAGUUGCGCUAAUACCGCAUACGCCCUGAGGGGGAAAGCGGGGGACCGCAAGGCCUCGCGCGAUUAGAGCGGCCGAUGUCUGAUUAGCUUGUUGGUGAGGUAAAAGCUCACCAAGGCGAUGAUCAGUAGCUGGUCUGAGAGGACGAUCAGCCACACUGGGACCGAGACACGGCCCAGACUCCUACGGGAGGCAGCAGUGGGGAAUUUUGGACAAUGGGGGCAACCCUGAUCCAGCAAUGCCGCGUGAGUGAAGAAGGCCUUCGGGUUGUAAAGCUCUUUUGUCAGGGAAGAAACAGCAGCUCUAACACAGUCUGCGAAUGACGGUACCUGAAGAAUAAGCACCGGCUAACUACGUGCCAGCCGCCGCAGUAACAC